CAUUCUUGAGAUGAGCAGCCAAGUGUAUGACUGGUCCACUUCUCUGAUGCAACAAUAGAGUGGGCUGGUCAGUGGGGAUGUCCAACCAGAGUGGAUGGCAGACGUUUCCAGAAUCUCUGGAAUGGGUCACAUAUCAUAACCAGCUUGAAGCCUAGGUCCCAGAUGUGUGAGGCAGCCUGUGAGAAUCAAACUGGAGAUCUCAAUAGUAGAUCCAAGGAAUGGGACCUUUCAAAUCCCAUGGCUUCUUAUCUUAUUGGUUUGGAAACCUUAGAACUUUAGAAUCUGUUUCUCUUUUGCCACAAUUUCUUUCCUGGGUUUCAUGAGAGCUUUGCUGGAAUGUUUCUGCCCUACCCACUGGGUUGUAAGCGUACAGGUGCCCCAGCUCCCAGAUGUGGACAGCACGUUUUAGACAGUGCUGUAGAUGACACUAGGGGCUACUUUGAAUUGUCUUUGUAGAAAGCAGGCAUUGGAAUUCAAUAUUGACUUUGCAGAGGUACAGACUAAAGAAAUGAACUGAAUAGUCUUUUCUGCCAUGGCCCUUUGACUUUUGAUAUCUUGGGGCAACGCUGACCUCAGCCUGGGGGGUAACUAUGGAAUGAAAUAGAUCUGAGGUUACAUGACUGGGUUUGGGUGCUCCCUUUGCUACUUGCCAUCUAUGUCACCUUGGUCUAAGUCAUAGCUCUUUAUGCAGUGCCUGUAGAUGGAAGGCACUGGGCAAGUGUUUGUUGACUAUUGAAUGAUUAAGCUUUCUGAGCCUUGGUUGCUUGUCUAUCAGAUAGGAAUAGUAAUAUCUAUUCUGUAGGCAUAUGGAAAGAGAAUGGUUAAAGUAUAAAAGGUGAUGCUGGCUUUUCUGUUUUGUGACAUAAUUGCACAUCCUUACUUCCAACCUCAUUUAACCAUGAAUACUAAGGCCAGAAAGGAGUCUAUGAAUGGUUUGGAACAAGCUUAAGUUUUCUCCUAGGAGGUUAAUUCAAAAUUUUUCUGUUGACUGUAGCCUGGGAGCAUCACUUCUGUGUUUGUAGAGCAGCAAAGCUCUCCCUUCUUUCGUCAUUGGAACUCAGUUAUUAUUUAAGAAAUUGAACUCAGGGCCUUAUGCUUGCCAGACAGAGGUAUACUGCCAACCCUUGACCCAGUAUCCCAUCCAGGACAUCAUCUUAGUCAUCAUUUCUCCAUAGAUUCCUGACUGUGACAAUCUCCCAGACUUGUUUGUGAGGAUCUUGGCCACUUUGAGGAGAGCUACUCAGUUGUGCCUCAAUUUCCCUGUAUCUCUAAUUCAUCCCCGAACACUCAUGAAAAUUUUCUGCCUGAUGAAUCCUUCUUCCAGAGCAAGUAUACAGAAAUUGAGAUUGUGAAUGUGAAAGAGAAGCGUCUUGCCCAGGCGACUAUGAGGCAUUUUGUGGGCAGAAUGGAGUCUUCUCUUCAGUGAAUUUGUUUUCACUACCCCAUGCAGUUCUUGUUUUAGGAUGGCCUUUUUUUUCCCCUGUACUAGAAGAAACUUGAAAAUAUCAAAGAUACGGGUGAGAACCCCCACAUAGGCAUAGACAUGAUAGAUAAUGACCAAGGAUCAAGUAGCCCCAGUAAUGAUGAGGCCGCAAUGGCUGUCAUCAUGAACCUCCUGGAAGCAGACACUGGGCUGGGUGGCCCUGUUGACUUCAGCGACUUGCCAUGGCCGCUGUAAACACUACAUGUUGCUUUGGCAACAGCUACAGUAUCAAAGUGCAGUACUCGUGGAGUUUUACGGUCUGUGAAGCUUACUUGAUAGGGAGAGAACAGCUUUUAUGUACUGACUUCAUAAAAGCCAUCUCAGAGCCAUUGAUACAAGUCAAUCCUACUAUGUGUAACUUCAGACAAAGUGGAACUAAGCCUGCUCCAGUGUUUCCUCAUCAUUGAUUAUUGGGCUAACUGUGGAUAGCUUGCAUUACUUGUAUAUUUUGGAUUCUGUUUGUGUUGAAUUUUUUAAUCAUUGUGCACAGAAGCAUCAUUGGUAGCUUUUAUAUGCAAAUGGUCAUUUCAGAUGUAUGGUGUUUUUACACUACAAAGAAGUCCCCCAUGUGGAUAUUUCUUAUACUAAUUGUAUUUAUAAAGCUGUUUAUUCUUCCUUGUAAGAAUCCUUUACUAUAAAUAUGGGUUAAAGUAUAAUGUAUUAGACAGUUAAAUAUUUUUAAUAAAUGUUUCCCUUGUUCUAUAAA